rnacentral:tRNA from 1 species
AUUUAUAUAGUUUAUAAAAACAUUAUAAUUUCAAUAUAAAAAUGAAUUUUAUUCUAUAAAUA